GAUGAACGCUGGCGGCGUGCCUAAUACAUGCAAGUCGAGCGAACAGAUGAGGAGCUUGCUCCUCUGACGUUAUCGGGGGACGGGUGAGUAACACGUGUAUAACCUACCUCUAAGACAGGGAUAACAUUGCGGAAUCGGAGCUAAUACCGGAUAAUAUAUUGAACUUCGUGGUUCAAUAGUGAAAUACGGUUUUGCUGUCACUUAUAGAUUGAUCCGCGCCGCAUUCGCUGGUUGGUAAGGUAACGGCUUACCAAGGCAACGAUGCGUAGCCGACCUGAGAGGGUGAUCGGCCGCUCGGGAGAGAAGAUCCGCACCAGCCCCCUAAGGGAGGCACGAGUAGGAAUCCUUCGGGAAUGAGCGAAGGCCAGAAGGAGCAACGCGGCGUGAGUGAUGAAGGUCUUCGGCUCGUAAAACAUGAUGGUUUGGGAGGAGCAAAUCUGUAGGUACCUAUGCGAUUAUGACCGUACCCUAAUAAGAAGGCCCCGCUUACUUCCGU
rnacentral:rRNA from 1 species